GGGGAAUAUUGGACAAUGGGCGAAAGCCUGAUCCAGCCAUGCCGCGUGUGUGAAGAAGGUCUUCGGAUUGUAAAGCACUUUAAGUUGGGAGGAAGGGCAGUAAAUUAAUACUUUGCUGUUUUGACGUUACCGACAGAAUAAGCACCGGCUAACUCUGUGCCAGCAGCCGCGGUAAUACAGAGGGUGCAAGCGUUAAUCGGAAUUACUGGGCGUAAAGCGCGCGUAGGUGGUUCGUUAAGUUGGAUGUGAAAUCCCCGGGCUCAACCUGGGAACUGCAUUCAAAACUGACGAGCUAGAGUAUGGUAGAGGGUGGUGGAAUUUCCUGUGUAGCGGUGAAAUGCGUAGAUAUAGGAAGGAACACCAGUGGCGAAGGCGACCACCUGGACUGAUACUGACACUGAGGUGCGAAAGCGUGGGGAGCAAAACAGGAUUAGAUACCCUGGUAGUCCACGCCGUAAACGAUGUCAACUAGCCGUUGGGAGCCUUGAGCUCUUAGUGGCGCAGCUAACGCAUUAAGUUGACCGCCUGGGGAGUACGGCCGCAAGGUUAAAAGC
rnacentral:rRNA from 1 species